rnacentral:rRNA from 1 species
UGAACGCUAGCGGCAGGCCUAACACAUGCAAGUCGAGGGAGAAGCCCUUUCGGGGGCAGAAACCGGCGCACGGGUGCGUAACGCGUAUGCAACCUACCUUUCACAGGGGGAUAGCCCGAAGAAAUUUGGAUUAAUACCCCAUAAUAUUAUUGGAUGGCAUCAUUUGAUAAUUAAAACUGCGGUGGUGAAAGAUGGGCAUGCGUCCUAUUAGCUAGUUGGAGUGGUAACGGCACCCCAAGGCUACGAUAGGUAGGGGUCCUGAGAGGGAGAUCCCCCACACGGGUACUGAGACAGGGACCAGACUCCUACGGGAGGCAGCAGUGAGGAAUAGUGGGCAAUGGUCGGAAGACUGAACCAGCCAUGCCGCGUGCAGGAAGAAUGCCUUAUGGGUUGUAAACUGCUUUUAUAUGGGAAGAAUAAGGCGUACGUGUACGUUGAUGACGGUACCAGAUGAAUAAGCAUCGGCUAACUCCGUG